UUGGUACCGAAGAGAAACUAAUCGAAAAGAGAAAAAAACAACCACCCACCCUUUCGAUCAACCAUUUUUUUCCCUACCCAACUAUUGCAUGACUUGGAUUUUUAUUUUACCCAACCCAAUUUCAAAAUUAUACAAGUAUUUUACAUAUAUACAUAUAUAUUAUUAUACAAGCUAGGCCACUAUAGUAUAAACAGUACUAUGCAUAUUUGGUGCACUAACUGAAUGUCAAAUAUAAUCAUUUGUACCUUCACAAGUUCAUAUUAUGUUCCCAAGCCUCCAAGUUCCUGCAGUCCUACCAUAUCUCGUUGUUGUAAUCAGAGGGGAUGGGGAGUUGGAGUUUAGUU
rnacentral:lncRNA from 1 species